rnacentral:lncRNA from 1 species
AGCCCACAGGAGAAAUUCCAAAUCACCUGCAAGUUGGUUGCAAAGCCUCUGGUAUCUGAUCUGGCCCAUGUGCUGAGGCAGGCCACGUGGAAGAGCUGCUGUGCUGAGCACAAAAGCUCCAGGGUUCCCAGAUUUGCCUUCAGGUCAACAGCUCACUCAGGGCCCAGAGGGCCGAACCAGCGGACAAAGCGGGUUCAUACGUGGAAGCCCCUGGGAUACAAGAAAAAAGAACACAACAUUCUUUCAAAGGCAUUGCUGGGAGCUCUCAGAGAUGUCACUUACAUUAGGUUUGUUUUUAAUUCCUCAGCUGGGUCAUUAUUUCUUGAGAAUGUGAAUGGUGGCAAAUGCCAAUCAGAAAUUAAAAAGAGAGAAGAAUUAGUCACAAGAUUUAGGUCACUUUUAGCUCCUUUUUUUUUCUCUAAUGCUGCCUACAACACACUCCAGUUCUAUUUUAAAGAUAUCUUUGCAUUCAGAAAAGGAUAUGGCACAGGGUUGCUGCUGGCUGCUGUGAAGGAAAAUUCAAAUUCUGGCAAACUGCUGCUUUCAUCUGGGCCCUGAACAAAGAAGCUAUUUUGAAAUUCUGAUUGCAUCUUGGGGGAAAUCAGACGUACCCCAAAAUUUAGAACAUAAAUUUAGCUUAUUGCCUCACAUUCUGCGUGGAACAGCUGAUGUCCCCAGGGAAAAGGUAGAGUCCCUGUACCAGCACAACGUUCUAGAAUUCAGAUGAUAUAUAGAUCAAAAGCAGUAUCUCUCUGGUGAAGCUGUGCUUGCUGGUCCAGGAAAUG